AUCGGAAUUAUUGGGCGUAAAGCGAGUGUAGACGGUUAUUUAAGCCAGAUGUGAAAUACCCGAGCUUAACUUGGGAGGUGCAUAUGGAACUGGGUAGCUAGAGUGUGUCAGAGGGAGGUAGAACUCCACGUGUAGCAGUGAAAUGCGUAGAGAUGUGGAAGAAUACCGAUGGCGAAGGCAGCCUCCUGGGAUAACACUGACGUUGAGGCUCGAAGCGUGGGGAGCAAACAGGAUU
rnacentral:rRNA from 1 species